rnacentral:rRNA from 1 species
CGGAGGUGGCAAGCGUUACUCGGAAUUAUUGGGUGUAAAGGGCAAGUAGGCGGUCUAAUAAGUGGGUGGUGAAAUACUCUGGCUCAAUCAGAGAACUGCCUUCCAAACUGUUAGACUUGAGUGUGACAGGGGAAAAUGGAAUUCUAGGUGUAAGGGUGAAAUCUGUAGAUAUCUAGAAGAACACCAGCGGCGAAGGCGAUUUUCUGGGUCACAACUGACGCUAAAUUGCGAAAGCUAGGGGAGCAAACAGAAUUAGAUACUCUGGUAGUCCUAGCCGUAAACGAUGAGCACUAGAUGUCAGCUCCUUUAGGAGUUGGUGUCGCAGCUAACGCAUUAAGUGCUCCACCUGGGGACUACGGUCGCAAGGCUA